CAACCACACCCCAACCCACUACUACUACAACAACCACUACACCUACACCUACCACCACAACCACACCCCAACCCACUACUACUACAACAACCACUACACCUACACCUACCACCACAACAAAACAACCCUCUUUAAUGAUAGUAACAACGGCUGUUAUAACACGACCGACUCCAACCACUAUGACAACAACACAACAAGCAACAUCCUGGCCACGACCAACUCCAACCACGACUACAACAACACAACAAGCAACAUCCUGGCCACGACCAACUCCAACCACGACUACAACAACACAACAAGCAACAUCCUGGCCACUAACAGAGGCCCACGCUACUCCUACAACAAUAUCUACAAUCACCACUAUGAACAGAAAGCUCAAUAAACCUCCCAAAAAACCUAACAAAUCGUCUAAAAAACCCAAACCACAUCCUGCCACUACUACAACAACAACUUUACCUGUCUCAACUACACCCCGCAGAGACCCAGACCCCAUCAGAACUACUGAAAAACUCCAGCCAGCCACUGAGCCAGCUACCUCCACCACCACUUCUACUGGUGCUACUGCCACCACUAAGAGCCCAGCAGCCAUUGAGCCCCUGAUCCCAAGGACGACACCAGAAAACGAGCUAGUGCUGAUGCCCAAGGGGGUCCAGGCAACCCCAGCCUCCCCAGGGACAGAGGGUCAGGGCAGGGGGAAGGAGGUGGCAGGGCAGGGGGCUCUGAAGAGCUCCCUGGUGGCUGUGGUGGUGGUAGGCCUGGCCAUCCUGACUCUGGCCCUGGCUGUGGUUGGACGUAAGGCCAUGGAGUCAUUCGACCGGCGACACUACACCAGGCUGGAGCUCAACGACCUACACUAUGAGGUGUGACACACACACACACACUACACCAGGCUGGAGCUUAACGACCUACACUACGAGGUGUGACACACACACACACACUACACCAGGCUGGAGCUUAAUGACCUACACUACGAGGUGUGACACACACACACACACACACACUACACCAGGCUGGAGCUCAACGACCUGCACUACGAGGUGUGACACACACACACACACACACACUACACCAGGCUGGAGCUCAACGACCUACACUACGAGGUGUGACACACACACACACACACACACACUACACCAGGCUGGAGCUUAACGACCUACACUACGAGGUGUGACACACACACACACACACACGCACACACACACACACACACACACACACACACACACACACACACACACACACACACACACACACACACACACACACACACACACACACACACACACACACACACACACACACACACACACACACACACACACACACACGUCCUGGUUCACAAAGAGGGAUAAUAAACAAGACACACGGGGAAUGAAAGGUCCACCAUGCAAAAAUAAUAUGUUUCUCUUCAGUUUGCUCUGUUUUAAUUCAAUCGUUUCUUUAACCACAUAUUUAUUAGAUAAGAAACGUGUUCAGUUUAAUUUUAAGAGCAUAUCAAUGUACUGUCAUUCAUUACAACACAAUAACAAUAGUGUCAUUGAACAGACCCCUCUUCUAGUAUUCUACAACAGUAGAGAGAUAUCAGAGGGCUCUAGAACAGUAGAGAGAUAUCAGAGGGCUCUAGAACAGUAGAGAGGCAUCAGAUGGCUCUAGAACAGUAGAGAGAUAUCAGAGGGCUCUAGAACAGUAUGGAUAUCAGAGGGCUCUAGAACAGUAGAGAGAUAUCAGAGGGCUCUAGAACAGUAGAGAGAUAUCAGAGGGCUCUAGAACAGUAGAGAGAUAUCAGAGGGCUCUAGAACAGUAGAGAGACAUCAGAUGGCUCUAGAACAGUAUAGAUAUCAGAGGGCUCUAGAACAGUAGAGAGAUAUCAGAGGGCUCUAGAACAGUAGAGAGAUAUCAGAGGGCUCUAGAACAGUAGAGAGACAUCAGAUGGCUCUAGAACAGUAUAGAUAUCAGAGGGCUCUAGAACAGUAGAGAGAUAUCAGAGGGCUCUAGAACAGUAGAGAGAUAUCAGAGGGCUCUAGAACAGUAGAGAGACAUCAGAGGGCUCUAGAACAGUAGAGAGACAUCAGAGGGCUCUAGAACAGUAGCGAGAUAUCAGAAGGCUCUAGAACAGUAGAGAGACAUCAGAGGGCUCUAGAACAAUAGAGAGAUAUCAGAGGGCUCUAGAACAGUAGAGAGAUAUCAGAGGGCUCUAGAACAGUAUAGAUAUCAGAGGGCUCUAGAACAGUAGAGAGACAUCAGAGGGCUCUAGAACAGUAGAGAGACAUCAGAGGGCUCUAGAACAGUAGAGAGACAUCAGAGGGCUCUAGAACAGUAGCGAGAUAUCAGAAGGCUCUAGAACAGUAGCGAGAUAUCAGAAGGCUCUAGAACAGUAGAGAGAUAUCAGAAGGCUCUAGAACAGUAGAGAGAUAUCAGAGGGCUCUAGAACAGUAGAGAGGUAUCAAAGGGCUAGGGAAUAAAGAACCUUAAGCAGCAAUAUCUCUAUUCCAACAACUCAGGAACCCUCUGAAUUUAAAGGUUAUAGUGUAAUUUGGAUGAACUAUCCCUUUAAGCAAACAGCAAACACAAAGUGAUAGCCUCCCCUAUGUACAAGAGAGUCAUUGGAGGCUGGUCAAGGGAGGACGGCUCAUAAUAAUGGCUGGAAUGGAAUAGAUGGAACGGAGUCAAACACUGGGAAGAAACCAAGUCUAGAUGUGUUUGAUGCCUGUCUAUUCAUUCCAGCCAUUACUAUGAGUCCCUCCUCAGAUUCAAGGUGGAACCAGCCACCACUGAUAAGUGUACUGACUGAGACCUUUUAAAGAGGAGCAACUGACUGAGACCUUUUAAAGAGGAGCAACUGACUGAGACCUAUUAAAGAGGAACAACUGACUGAGACCUUUUAAAGAGGAGCAACUGACUGAGACCUUUUAAAGAGGAGCAACUGACUGAGACCUUUUAAAGAGGAGCAACUGACUGAGACCUUUUAAAGAGGGACAACUGACUGAGACCUUUUAAAGAGGGACAACUGACUGAGACCUUUUAAAGAGGGACAACUGACUGAGACCUUUUAAAGAGGAGCAACUGACUGAGACCUUUUAAAUAGCAACUGACUGAGACCUUUUAAAGAGGAGCAACUGACUGAGACCUUUUAAAUAGCAACUGACUGAGACCUUUUAAAGAGAAACAACUGACUGAGACCUUUUAAAGAGGAACAACUGACUGAGACCUUUUAAAGAGAAACAACUGACUGAGACCUUUUAAAGAGAAACAACUGACUGAGACCUUUUAAAGAGGAACAACUGA